rnacentral:rRNA from 1 species
UACGUAGGUGGCAAGCGUUGUCCGGAUUUACUGGGCGUAAAGAGCGCGCAGGCGGUCGUUCAAGUCGCGUGUGAAAGCCCCCGGCUCAACUGGGGAGGGUCACGCGAUACUGAUCGACUCGAAGGCAGGAGAGGGUAGUGGAAUUCCCGGUGUAGUGGUGAAAUGCGUAGAUAUCGGGAGGAACACCAGUGGCGAAGGCGACUACCUGGACCAGCACUGACACUGAGGCACGAAAGCGUGGGGAGCAAACAGG